rnacentral:rRNA from 1 species
AUUGAACGCUGGCGGCAUGCCUUACACAUGCAAGUCGAACGGCAGCGGACCUUCGGGUGCCGGCGAGUGGCGAACGGGUGAGUAAUAUAUCGGAACGUACCUUUCAGUGGGGGAUAACGUAGCGAAAGUUACGCUAAUACCGCAUAUUCUGUGAGCAGGAAAGCAGGGGAUCGCAAGACCUUGCGCUGAUUGAGCGGCCGAUAUCAGAUUAGCUAGUUGGUGAGGUAAAGGCUUACCAAGGCGACGAUCUGUAGCGGGUCUGAGAGGAUGAUCCGCCACACUGGAACUGAGACACGGUCCAGACUCCUACGGGAGGCAGCAGUGGGGAAUUUUGGACAAUGGGCGCAAGCCUGAUCCAGCCAUGCCGCGUGAGUGAAGAAGGCCU